UACGUAGGGGGCUAGCGUUGUCCGGAAUCAUUGGGCGUAAAGAGCGUGUAGGCGGUCCGGUAAGUCCGUUGUGAAAGUCAGGGGCUCAACCCUUGAAUGCCGGCGGAUACUGUCGGGCUAGAGUCCGGAAGAGGCGAGUGGAAUUCCCGGUGUAGCGGUGAAAUGCGCAGAUAUCGGAGGAACACCUAUGGCGAAGGCAGCUCGCUGGGAUGGUACUGACGCUGAGGAGCGAAAGCGUGGGGAGCAAACAGG
rnacentral:rRNA from 1 species